GAUGAACGCUGGCGGCGUGCCUAAUACAUGCAAGUCGAGCGAACAGGCGAGGAGCUUGCUCCUCUGACGUUAGCGGCGGACGGGUGAGUAACACGUGGAUAACCUACCUAUAAGACUGGGAUAACUUCGGGAAACCGGAGCUAAUACCGGAUAACAUGUUGAACCGCAUGGUUCAACAGUGAAAGACGGUUUUGCUGUCACUUAUAGAUGGAUCCGCGUCGCAUUAGCUAGUUGGUAAGGUAACGGCUUACCAAGGCAACGAUGCGUAGCCGACCUGAGAGGGUGAUCGGCCACACUGGAACUGAGACACGGUCCAGACUCCUACGGGAGGCAGCAGUAGGGAAUCUUCCGCAAUGGGCGAAAGCCUGACGGAGCAACGCCGCGUGAGUGAAGAAGGUCUUCGGAUCGUAAAACUCUGUUAUUAGGGAAGAACAAAUGUGUAAGUAACUAUGCACGUCUUGACGGUACCUAAUCAGAAAGCCACGGCUAACUACGUG
rnacentral:rRNA from 1 species